rnacentral:lncRNA from 1 species
GGACAAUAGACCGGCGUCUGUGCUGGGGCGGCCGGGCCCGACUCGGGCAGCGUGCGGCCGCCGGACUCGCAGCAGGGCGUCAGGGAGUUGGUGCUCAUCAGGAACUGGGGCGCGGAGGAGUAGGGAUAGCCGAACUGCGGGUAGGACAUGGUCCAGAGGCUCCCGGUGAUCUGCGAUCACGCCCGGCUCCGGCUAGCGCCUCGCAGUGCCAUGGCAGCGCUCCUCUCCUCCCGGUCUCUGCGCGGAUCGCUGCGCGGAGCCGCCGCGCGCAUUUCUCAGCGUGCGGCACCUGACGGCAGCGCGCAGUGCCUCCGCUCCCCCGGCGCCGCCGCCACCACGUCCCUCACCCCUGUCCUAGUGACGUCCCA